UGGCAGUCAGAGGCGAUGAAGGACGUGCUAAUCUGCGAUAAGCGUCGGUAAGGUGAUAUGAACCGUUAUAACCGGCGAUUUCCGAAUGGGGAAGCCCAGUGUGUUUCGACACGCUAUCAUUAACGGAAUCCAUAGGUUAAUGAGGCGAACCGGGGGAACUGAAACAUCUAAGUACCCCGAGGAAAAGAAAUCAACCGAGAUUCCCCCAGUAGCGGCGAGCGAACGGGGAGCAGCCCAGAGCCUGAAUCAGUGUGUGUGUUAGUGGAAGCGUCUGGAAAGGCGCGCGAUACAGGGUGACAGCCCCGUACACAAAAAUGCACAUGCUGUGAGCUCGAUGAGUAGGGCGGGACACGUGGUAUCCUGUCUGAAUAUGGGGGGACCAUCCUCCAAGGCUAAAUACUCCUGACUGACCGAUAGUGAACCAGUACCGUGAGGGAAAGGCGAAAAGAACCCCGGCGAGGGGAGUGAAAAAGAACCUGAAACCGUGUACGUACAAGCAGUGGGAGCACGCUUAGGCGUGUGACUGCGUACCUUUUGUAUAAUGGGUCAGCGACUUAUAUUCUGUAGCAAGGUUAACCGAAUAGGGGAGCCGAAGGGAAACCGAGUCUUAACUGGGCGUUAAGUUGCAGGGUAUAGACCCGAAACCCGGUGAUCUAGCCAUGGGCAGGUUGAAGGUUGGGUAACACUAACUGGAGGACCGAACCGACUAAUGUUGAAAAAUUAGCGGAUGACUUGUGGCUGGGGGUGAAAGGCCAAUCAAACCGGGAGAUAGCUGGUUCUCCCCGAAAGCUAUUUAGGUAGCGCCUCGUGAAUUCAUCUCCGGGGGUAGAGCACUGUUUCGGCAAGGGGGUCAUCCCGACUUACCAACCCGAUGCAAACUGCGAAUACCGGAGAAUGUUAUCACGGGAGACACACGGCGGGUGCUAACGUCCGUCGUGAAGAGGGAAACAACCCAGACCGCCAGCUAAGGUCCCAAAGUCAUGGUUAAGUGGGAAACGAUGUGGGAAGGCCCAGACAGCCAGGAUGUUGGCUUAGAAGCAGCCAUCAUUUAAAGAAAGCGUAAUAGCUCACUGGUCGAGUCGGCCUGCGCGGAAGAUGUAACGGGGCUAAACCAUGCACCGAAGCUGCGGCAGCGACACUAUGUGUUGUUGGGUAGGGGAGCGUUCUGUAAGCCUGUGAAGGUGUGCUGUGAGGCAUGCUGGAGGUAUCAGAAGUGCGAAUGCUGACAUAAGUAACGAUAAAGCGGGUGAAAAGCCCGCUCGCCGGAAGACCAAGGGUUCCUGUCCAACGUUAAUCGGGGCAGGGUGAGUCGACCCCUAAGGCGAGGCCGAAAGGCGUAGUCGAUGGGAAACAGGUUAAUAUUCCUGUACUUGGUGUUACUGCGAAGGGGGGACGGAGAAGGCUAUGUUGGCCGGGCGACGGUUGUCCCGGUUUAAGCGUGUAGGCUGGUUUUCCAGGCAAAUCCGGAAAAUCAAGGCUGAGGCGUGAUGACGAGGCACUACGGUGCUGAAGCAACAAAUGCCCUGCUUCCAGGAAAAGCCUCUAAGCAUCAGGUAACAUCAAAUCGUACCCCAAACCGACACAGGUGGUCAGGUAGAGAAUACCAAGGCGCUUGAGAGAACUCGGGUGAAGGAACUAGGCAAAAUGGUGCCGUAACUUCGGGAGAAGGCACGCUGAUAUGUAGGUGAAGUCCCUCGCGGAUGGAGCUGAAAUCAGUCGAAGAUACCAGCUGGCUGCAACUGUUUAUUAAAAACACAGCACUGUGCAAACACGAAAGUGGACGUAUACGGUGUGACGCCUGCCCGGUGCCGGAAGGUUAAUUGAUGGGGUUAGCCGCAAGGCGAAGCUCUUGAUCGAAGCCCCGGUAAACGGCGGCCGUAACUAUAACGGUCCUAAGGUAGCGAAAUUCCUUGUCGGGUAAGUUCCGACCUGCACGAAUGGCGUAAUGAUGGCCAGGCUGUCUCCACCCGAGACUCAGUGAAAUUGAACUCGCUGUGAAGAUGCAGUGUACCCGCGGCAAGACGGAAAGACCCCGUGAACCUUUACUAUAGCUUGACACUGAACAUUGAGCCUUGAUGUGUAGGAUAGGUGGGAGGCUUUGAAGUGUGGACGCCAGUCUGCAUGGAGCCGACCUUGAAAUACCACCCUUUAAUGUUUGAUGUUCUAACGUUGACCCGUAAUCCGGGUUGCGGACAGUGUCUGGUGGGUAGUUUGACUGGGGCGGUCUCCUCCUAAAGAGUAACGGAGGAGCACGAAGGUUGGCUAAUCCUGGUCGGACAUCAGGAGGUUAGUGCAAUGGCAUAAGCCAGCUUGACUGCGAGCGUGACGGCGCGAGCAGGUGCGAAAGCAGGUCAUAGUGAUCCGGUGGUUCUGAAUGGAAGGGCCAUCGCUCAACGGAUAAAAGGUACUCCGGGGAUAACAGGCUGAUACCGCCCAAGAGUUCAUAUCGACGGCGGUGUUUGGCACCUCGAUGUCGGCUCAUCACAUCCUGGGGCUGAAGUAGGUCCCAAGGGUAUGGCUGUUCGCCAUUUAAAGUGGUACGCGAGCUGGGUUUAGAACGUCGUGAGACAGUUCGGUCCCUAUCUGCCGUGGGCGCUGGAGAACUGAGGGGGGCUGCUCCUAGUACGAGAGGACCGGAGUGGACGCAUCACUGGUGUUCGGGUUGUCAUGCCAAUGGCACUGCCCGGUAGCUAAAUGCGGAAGAGAUAAGUGCUGAAAGCAUCUAAGCACGAAACUUGCCCCGAGAUGAGCUCUCACUGACCCCUUGAGAAUCCUGAAGGAACGUUGAAGACGACGACGUUGAUAGGCCGGCUGUGUAAGCUCACCGAUGCGUUGAGCUAUCCGGUACUAAUGGACAGUGACGCUUAACUUUACACCGCCG
rnacentral:rRNA from 1 species